rnacentral:rRNA from 1 species
UACGGAGGGGGUUAGCGUUGUUCGGAAUGACUGGGCGUAAAGCGCGCGUAGGCGGAUCAUCAAGUCGGGGGUGAAAUCCCGGGGCUCAACCCCGGAAUGGCCUUCGAGACUGGUGGUCUUGAGUUCGAGAGAGGUGAGUGGAAUUCCGAGUGUAGAGGUGAAAUUCGUAGAUAUUAGGAAGAACACCAGUGGCUAAGGCGACAUACUGGCUCAUUACUGACGCUGAGGUGCGAAAGCGUGGGGAGCAAACAGG